rnacentral:rRNA from 1 species
UCAUAUGCUUGUCUCAAAGAUUAAGCCAUGCAUGUCUGAGUACAUGCCGUAUUAAGGCGAAACCGCGAAUGGCUCAUUAAAUCAGUUAUGGUUCCUUAGAUCGUACCUUACUACUUGGAUAACUGUGGUAAUUCUAGAGCUAAUACAUGCAGCAGAGCUCCGACCUUCGGGGACGAGCGCUUUUAUUAGACCAAGAUCAAUCGGGCCUCGCGUCCGUGUAAUGUGGUGAAUCUGUGUAACUUUGAGCUGAUCGCACGGGCUCGUCCCGGCGACGCAUCUUUCAAGUGUCUGCCUUAUCAACUGUCGAUGGUAGGUUAAUUGCCUACCAUGGUCGUAACGGGUAACGGGGAAUCAGGGUUCGAUUCCGGAGAGGGAGCCUGAGAGACGGCUACCACAUCCAAGGAAGGCAGCAGGCGCGCAAAUUACCCACUCCCAGAUCGGGGAGGUAGUGACGAAAAAUAACAAUACGGGACUCUUUUGAGACCCCGUAAUUGGAAUGAGUACACUCUAAAUCCUUUAACGAGUAUCCAUUGGAGGGCAAGUCUGGUGCCAGCAGCUGCGGUAAUUCCAGCUCCAAUAGCGUAUAUUAAAGUUGUUGCAGUUAAAAAGCUCGUAGUUGGAUCUCAGUUCCAGACGGGUGGUCCGCCUACCGGUGGUUACUGCCUGUUCUGAACAGCCAGCCGGUUUCCUUUGAUGAUCUUCACCGGUUGUCUUGGGUGACCGGCACGUUUACUUUGAAAAAAUUAGAGUGCUCAAAGCAGGCGUGACGCCUGAAUAAUGGUGCAUGGAAUAAUAGAAUAGGACCUCGGUUCUGUUUUGUUGGUCUUUGGAAGACGAGGUAAUGAUUAAGAGGGACAGACGGGGGCAUUCGUAUUGCGACGCUAGAGGUGAAAUUCUUGGACCGUCGCAAGACGAACUACUGCGAAAGCAUUUGCCAAGAAUGUUUCCGUUAAUCAAGAACGAAAGUUAGAGGAUCGAAGGCGAUCAGAUACCGCCCUAGUUCUAACCAUAAACGAUGCUAACCAGCGAUCAGGAUGUGUUCCUCAAAUGACACUUCUGGCAGCUCCCGGGAAACCAUAAGACGAGUUCUGGGGGUAGUAUGGUUGCAAAGCUGAAACUUAAAGGAAUUGACGGAAGGGCACCACCAGGAAUGGAGCCUGCGGCUCAAUUUGACUCAACACGGGAAAACUUACCCGGCCCGGACAUAGGAAGGAUUGACAGAUUAAGAGCUCUUUCUUGAUUCUAUGGGUGGUGGUGCAUGGCCGUUCUUAGUUGGUGGAGCGAUUUGUCUGGUCAAUUCCGAUAACGAACGAGACUUUAGCCUACUAAAUAGGCGUUCCGAUCACUGUUGUCGGACGUUCUUCUUAGAGGGACAGGCGGCGUUUAGCCGCACGAGACAGAGCAAUAACAGGUCUGUAAUGCCCCUAGAUGUCCGGGGCCGCACGCGCGCUACACUGAAGGAAUCAGCGUGUGCUUUCCCUGUCCGACAGGACUGGGUAACCCGUUAAACCUCCUUCGUGAUUGGGAUAGGGGCUUGUAAUUCUUCCCCUUGAACGAGGAAUUCCCAGUAAGUGCGAGUCAUCAGCUCGUAUUGAUUACGUCCCUGCCCUUUGUACACACCGCCCGUCGCUACUACCGAUUGAAUGAUUUAGUGAGGUCUUCGGACUGGCGCUCGGAGCGGCCCUAGUGGUCGCGCCGAAGUGCCGGAAAGAUGACCGAACUUGAUUAUUUAGAGGAAGUAAAAGUCGUAACAAGGUUUUC